rnacentral:rRNA from 1 species
CAAUAGCGUAUAUUAAAGUUGUUGCGGUUAAAAAGCUCGUAGUUGGAUUUCUGCCGAGGACGACCGGUCCGCCCUCUGGGUGAGUAUCUGGUUCGGCCUGGGCAUCUUCUUGGAGAACGUAUCUGCACUUGACUGUGUGGUGCGGUAUCCAGGACUUUUACUUUGAGGAAAUUAGAGUGUUUCAAGCAGGCACACGCCUUGAAUACAUUAGCAUGGAAUAAUAAGAUAGGACCUUGGUUCUAUUUUGUUGGUUUCUAGAGCUGAGGUAAUGAUUAAUAGGGAUAGUUGGGGGCAUUCAUAUUCCAAUGUCAGAGGUGAAAUUCUUGGAUUAUCGGAAGAUGAACUUCUGCGAAAGCAUCUGCCAAGGAUGUUUUCAUUGAUCAAGAACGAAAGUUUAGGGGGAUCCGAAGAGUAGUAUACGAGUAACCUAACCUACUUCGUAGGAACGUACGUCCAACCGGAACGGACCAACCAACGGGGAAGGGGUAAGGUA